rnacentral:rRNA from 1 species
CCUACGGGAGGCUGCAGUGGGGAAUAUUGGACAAUGGGGGGAACCCUGAUCCAGCCAUGCCGCGUGUGUGAAGAAGGCCCUCGGGUUGUAAAGCACUUUCAGUGAGGAAGAACGCCUGGUGGUUAAUACCCAUCAGGAAAGACAUCACUCACAGAAGAAGCACUGGCUAACUCCGUGCCAGCAGCCGCGGUAAUACGGAGGGUGCGAGCGUUAAUCGGAAUUACUGGGCGUAAAGCGCGCGUAGGUGGCUUGAUAAGCCGGUUGUGAAAGCCCCGGGCUCAACCUGGGAACGGCAUCCGGAACUGUCAAGCUAGAGGGCAGGAGAGGAAGGUAGAAUUCCCGGUGUAGCGGUGAAAUGCGUAGAGAUCGGGAGGAAUACCAGUGGCGAAGGCGGCCUUCUGGACUGACACUGACACUGAGGUGCGAAAGCGUGGGUAGCAAACAGGAUUAGAUACCCCAGUAGUC